CAAUCUCUGUACAUGUAGGAUAUUAAUUUGAUCAUCCUGUUGCAGGACAACGUUGCUGCAAUGCAGUUAAUUUCAAACUUGUAUUGUGUUUGCCAUUUAAAAAGGCUUUUGGAGUUUGUAAUAGAGGCUACUUCCUCUGCAAGAAAACCGGUCGUCCACAUCCCGUGACUGAAGUUAUGUGAUUUCCUCAUAGCAAAUUAAAAGCGUGUUUGAAGCCUACGCCGUUUCAAAACGGCUGUUGAAACUAUCGCAAACAUUUGUCAGCAACAUUAGAAGUGGGAUAAAUGUGUUAAUUUGAAGGGAAGACGGGCAGCCUGGGGUUUGUGCUGUAAAAUGAGUCUCUCUGGGGAGAAAGAGGAGGGGGGCCCUGCCUCUAAAACAAGUCUCUUUGGGGAACAUGACACCAAAGCUAAGAGCCCAGUCCAUCAGGAGAGACCAGACUCACCCAGCUCUCUGUCCAGGAAGAGUGACGGGUCUAUGGACCUUUUCGAUGAUUACGAAGAUGAAGACUUUUCUGCAUUUACAGG
rnacentral:lncRNA from 1 species